rnacentral:rRNA from 1 species
AAUAGAUACCCAGGUAGUCCACGCCGUAAACGGUGGGCACUAGGUGUGGGCGACAUUCCACGUCGUCCGUGCCGCAGCUAACGCAUUAAGUGCCCCGCCUGGGGAGUACGGCCGCAAGGCUAAAAACUCAAAGGAAUUGACGGGGGCCCGCACAAGCGGCGGAGCAUGUGGCUUAAUUCGACGCAACGCGAAGAACCUUACCAAGGCUUGACAUACACCGGAAACGUCCAGAGAUGGGCGCCCCCGUUGUGGUCGGUGUACAGGUGGUGCAUGGCUGUCGUCAGCUCGUGUCGUGAGAUGUUGGGUUAAGUCCCGCAACGAGCGCAACCCUUGUCCCGUGUUGCCAGCAGGCCCUUGUGGUGCUGGGGACUCACGGGAGACCGCCGGGGUCAACUCGGAGGAAGGUGGGGACGACGGUCAAGUCAUCAUGCCCCGUUAUGUCUUGGGCUGCACACGUGCUACAAUGGCCGGUACAAUGAGCUGCGAUACCGGCGAGGUGAGCGAAUCUCAAAAAGCCGGUCUCAGUUCGGAUUGGGGUCUG